rnacentral:rRNA from 1 species
GACGAACGCUGGCGGCGUGCUUAACACAUGCAAGUCGAACGGAAAGGCCCUGCUUUUGUGGGGUGCUCGAGUGGCGAACGGGUGAGUAACACGUGAGUAACCUGCCCUUGACUUUGGGAUAACUUCAGGAAACUGGGGCUAAUACCGGAUAGGAGCUCCUGCUGCAUGGUGGGGGUUGGAAAGUUUCGGCGGUUGGGGAUGGACUCGCGGCUUAUCAGCUUGUUGGUGGGGUAGUGGCUUACCAAGGCUUUGACGGGUAGCCGGCCUGAGAGGGUGACCGGCCACAUUGGGACUGAGAGACGGCCCAGACGCCUACGGGAGGCAGCAGUGAGGAAUAUUGCACAAUGGGCGGGAGCCUGAUGCAGCAACGCCGCGUGCGGGAUGACGGCCUUCGGGUUGUAAACCGCUUUCGCCUGUGACGAAGCGUGAGUGACGGGAAGGGGUAAAGAAGCACCGGCUAACUACG